rnacentral:misc_RNA from 1 species
UGUGGGAGGGGGCUUGCCCCCGAUAGCGGUGGGUCAGUCAACAUCUUCAUCGACUGACACCCUGCUAUCGGGGGCAAGCCCCCUCCCACA